rnacentral:lncRNA from 1 species
GCUCAAGGAAAUAAGGGAGGACAUAAACAAAUGGAGAAACAUUCUAUGCUUAUGGAUAGGAAGAAUUAAUAUCGUGACAAUGGCCAUACUGCCUAAAGUAAUUUAUAGAUUCAAUGCUAUUCCCAUCAAGCUACCAUUGGCUUUCUUCACAGAAUUAGAAAAAACUAUUUUAAAUUUCAUAUGGAACCAAAAAAAACCCAUAUAGCCAAGACAAUCCUAAGCAAAAAGAACAAAGCCGGAGGCAUCACGCUGCCUAGAAUUUUAUCAUCUCUGGUUGUUUUAUAUGCACAUUAUAAUUACUUCCCAUUGCUGAUUCCAAAAAUGAAAUGCCCUUGGGAAUGGGCUGAGCUUUGAUGUGCUCUCUUGAAUAAGUUUGUACUGGAUUGGAAGCUACUAAAUUAGGACCCUCCUAGGCCUCAAGUCCUUUCAAAUGUAUUUUUCAGGAUCACAUAUGAUUCAAAAUCAAGUCCUGUGUCUUUUGCCUUAAUCACUCAGUUUAAGGUGAAAAUAAUGAAAGUCUUAGAUGUUCUCGUGAGUAAGAACUGCCACCUCAAGCAGUUGAUUCUUUUCCUCCCGCCUCAAUGUUGCAUCUUUAAUCUCUCCUUUUCAGAGAAGGAAUGAUCAACAUCACCAGUUGUGAGACUCUCCAACUCUCACUUGCUGAAAGCGGUGAAGAAGGGGGAUUUAACAACUUUGAACUUUUCAUGUGAUUUUUGCCUUUGACACAGUUGUUAUUAGUGUUCUGAAAAAGCAACACCCCCUUGCAAGAACAUCAGGUUUCUAAAUGAUUUAUCUUCUCACAGACCUUGAUAUUCAAUCCAGGUGUGGAAAUAAAUAGUAUAGACCUCGGGUUCUAUCCUCUAGGCUUGGAAAGGCUUCAGUGGAAUUCUAUAGCAAAAGGCCCAGGCACUUCCCCUGACUUCGUCUUUGUUCUGCUAACUUUUUAUCUCUGAAAAGCAAAGGGAUUUCCUCUGGGGAUUAAGCAGGGGAAACAACCUAAGGUAGUGAUAGUGUUUCAUCAGAAUUAAGAGAUGCAAAUCUCAGCAAGAAGUCCUUGUCCACAACCUUGGACUGUUCCCCCUCCGUAUCUGGCAUCGAGCUUCACAAAUCCUUGCCCUGCUGAGCUUUCUUAUUCUUCUUUCUCCUGGCCACAGAAGUAUCUUGGGUAAACAGUAGUCGUUUCUUAAGUAAGGGUGUCUCAUCUCAAAGUGAUCCGUGCUGGCAUUAUUUUUUCUUUUUCUUUGUUUCUUUUUUCUUUUUUUUUUUUUUGUAGUUUUCAAAAGUUUUUAAUGUAGGCCAGGCGCAGUGGCUCACACCUGUAAUCCCAGCACUUUGGGAGGCCAAGUCAGGUGGAUCACUUGAGGUGAGGAGUUUGAGACCAGCCUGGCCAACAUGAUAAAACCUCGUCUCUACUAAAAACACAAAAAUUAGCAGGGCAUGGUGGGUGCCUGUAAUCCCAGCAAUUCGGGAGGCUGAGGCAGAAGAAUCCGCUUGAACCCGGGAGGUGGAAGUUGCAGUGAGCCGAGAUCGCACCAAUGCACUCCAGCCUGGGCGACAGAGUAAGACUCCGUCUCAAAAAAAAAAAAAAGUUUUUAAUGUAUUAAAAGCAUUCUGAAAUAAAUACUUAAAAAUCCAUAGAUGCUCUCUCAUCCUGCCAUGUCUUGGUUUCGAGUUCAUGAAACCAUCAGAGGGAGAGAAACACAUGUUCCUUCCUUCCUUCCUUCCUUCCUUCCUUCCUUCCUUCCUUUCCUUCCUCCCUCCCUUCCUUCCUCCCUUCCUUACUUCCUCCUUCCCUCCCUUCCUCCCUCCCUUCUUUGUCUCACUCACUCUCGUCACCCAGGCUGGAGUGCAAGUAGCAUGAUAUCGGCUCACUGCAGCCUCCGCCUCCUGGAUUCAAGAAAUUUUCCUGCCUCAGCCUCCCCAGUAGCUGGCAUUACAGGCACCCGCCACUAUUCCCAGCUAAUUUUUGUACUUUUAGUAGAGACCUGGUUUCGCCAUGUUGGCCAGGCUGUUCUCAAAUUCCUUAUCUCACGUGACCCACCUGCCCCAGCCUCCCAAAGUGCUGGGAUUACAGGUGGGAGCCACCAUGCCUUGCCUUUUUUCUUCCUUUUUUAAAAUUUAGAAACAGGGUCUCACUAUGUCACCCAGGCUGGAGUGCACUGGUGCAAUAAUAGCUCUCUGCAGACUCGAACUCCUGGGCUCAAGCAAUCCCCCUGCCUCGGCCUCCCAAGUAGCUAAGACUAUAGGAAUGCACCCAAUUAAUUUUUAAAAUUUUGUGGAGAUGGAGUCUCACUAUGCUGCCCAGGCUGGCCUCCAACUCCUGGCCUUAAGUGAUCCUCCCAUCUCAGCCUCCCAAAAUGCUGGGAUAAUAGAUGUGAGCUACUAUGCCCAGCCUGUUUUUAUUCUAAAAUACUCUUUACUACAUGUUGGGGUUUCCUUUCUCACACAGACGUUGUUCAGUGAAGUUUAAGUUUUCUUUUUCAUAUUUUCUGUGUGAUUGAGCAUUUUUAGUUAUUUCCAUUUUUAUGAUAUACUUUCUGCAUAUUUGGCAUAUAGAGUUUUGACUAACCCUUACAUUGUGUGGUUCAGAAUAUGACCAAGCUUUGUUUAAGAUACCCUUGGCCAAAAAAGUGAAUUUUUUUUUACUUCCAUGCAGUUUUUUACAUAUAUGUUAAGUCUGCCUUAUUACCUUUGUAUUGUGUGAACUAAAUUCUACUUUUGAA